UGAAGGAGAAGAUUGAGGAAAUACACUCUGGUCCCUGCUCCCUGCUCCUGGCCUGGUUGUUGCUGCCACCUCUCUUGGACGCUGGCCCGUCCCAGCCAGGUACACCACACUCUGGAGUGGACAGACACCAUGAGGGUGAUGGACUGAACAACAUCUUCAUCUUCCAGCUCCUUUAGCCUGUCAUUUUGCCUCUGCUAGAUACUGCAGAACUUUGAUGAGCAGCAAAUGGCAGCUGCAAAAUAAGAAAGAAGCAGUGAACUUCAUUACCAGCAGUUUUGGGGGGCAGAAAUCAGAAACAGUGCCCAAGAAUGACAGCUGAUGACAGCUCGGUCGCUUUUGCUUGGCUGGGGCUCAUCAAAGAGGAAGACACUUGGCUGGGACCCCACACAGGAGCUUCAACCCUGCUUCGUGAGAAGCCACGCAGCGCGUACAUCUACAUUGCAAGGGAAUUCCCUCGGCUUUUGAUAAAUGCUUUGAACUCCCAGCUGUUCUUAGGGAGAGAAGAAACAUCAAAGACAUGUCUGCAAAGGCUGUUUAUGUACCUGAGAGGAGCAGAGCUCCAUUCUUCUCCCAGGGUACAUCAUGAGGCUGUGAGCCAAGUGCACCCAAGCACCUUCAGCCACUACAACGUGAAUUUUCAUAUUAAGAAGGCGGUGUUGUUUCUGGGAUUGCACAGAGCUACAGAGCAGGUCUUCAACCCCAGUCCCUGCUGGACAUCUGAAUAACAACCCCAGUAAACAGCUUUCCUGAGCAUGCCCUGCUCGUUGAGAGGUCUACGUGUACAAAUUGGGGUGGGUUUUGGUGAGUGACCUGCAUGCAGAAGUCAUGGCCUUGGUUAAAGAAGACCGCAAGAGAAAGAUGGGAACCACCUGGGUCACCUGGCUGUUGUGGCUUCUCUGGGGAACCCAGGAGAAUUUUCUGUUUCCCGUGAUGGACUGGCCUUUUUAUCAGAUUUACGGAAGAUGUGAAGCACUAUUCCUUUUAUCACUGAACUUGAAAGCCCCACAACUCUGCCCCUGUUGUCUCAGAUGCAUGCAGGACCUCUGCUAGGUCCUUCCACAGACACUUGAAUGUAUAAAUAUUAAUAUUUUGAAAUGCCACACAACAACCUUAAAUUGCUGAGAAAGACAACCAAAGGAUGGCUCUGAGUUUGGGGCAAUACCUACGGGUGAAAAUAAC
rnacentral:lncRNA from 1 species